GGGGGUGUUUUAAGAUUCGCCCGAUGUAAAGGAGAUCCGAUAAGCGUGUCGAAGCGCAUCUUCGUUAAAAGGCAAAAUUAAAAUUAACUGCUAACAAUAGCAUCAAUACAAGCCGUUCUUACGGAAUGGCUUACGCUGCUUAAUUAAAUGCGGCUCGUCACCCACAUUGCUUCACACGGUGUGUCAGUGGCGUCAACAAGUGUGGAUAGUUUCCUGAUGUUCGGCAUUACAUCCCGAUACGAAAUUUAAAAGCCUUGGCGAUAAAAGUUUUGUUUGCCGUACUUUUACUCGCGACUUCAAACGACAAACUGCGCACGGAGAAAGUCGGGUAGUCUUGCGUUGGUACACGAGUGCAAGUCUCGUCACCUCCACCA
rnacentral:tmRNA from 1 species